CAAACCAGCCAAGCCAUUCCAAGUCAACUGACUGUCAAGAUGGGAUCUUGCAAUUAAGACACUGCCCCUGACUAUUCGGACUCGGAUGCCUGAGAAAGCGGUCCUCAUAACCAGUCGGGACUAAUUACUGUUUAAAUAAAUGAAUUUCAGUCAACAA
rnacentral:lncRNA from 1 species